rnacentral:sRNA from 1 species
CUGCUUGUGACUGGUGGUUGGGCACUGCCGCCUCCAUCUAAUGAGGGGCCCUCCAGGCCCGGCUGCCCUUGCGUUUGAUACCUGGGGAGAGGAUGUGCAGGCAAGGAGCAAUUGGAUCAGAAGGGCCUCAGUGAACAGACAUCACAGCCAAGCUCAAAGAGGGCAGGAAGUAGAACAAAGAGCAAAAACAUUUACAGAAGUGCAACAGUGUAACGGGGAGAGAGCUCGCAACUCUAACAAGGUCAAUGGUGAUAGGGAAAAAAUUGAAAGGAAUUGCUGAGGGGGAAAAGAGAGAGAAAGAAACCUCAAAAAGAGGCUGAGGACUCCCUGAGUUGGGCUUGCUGGCCAGCUCCUAGAACAUUUUCCUUGAUAUCUUCCCAGGAAGCCCCGUUCCUCCAAGACUUCAAUACACUGGAAAAGUUUGUGCAACCGGCUAGAGGCGGUUCAGAAGCUGUGAGUCACCAGCAGCGGUCUGUGUGUGUCUGCUUUCAACACGGGCUUCCUCUGGGACCACAUCAAUGGAGCCUUUGGGGUUCUUUGGCAUAUGUGACCAGACUACUGUGCUCACGAACUCCCAACUGCUGCAGCUGGUUGAAUAAGACCUGAAUAAGAUCAAGCCAGAUGACAUUCCAGCAUGAAGGGGAAAUAUAUGAGCCUCACUGCCAGCUGAGGAGCUAUGGGACAUUGGUUAAAAUCCUCUGCCCUUUUCAUAUCUCAGAUUACUUCUGCCUUGGCCAGUGGCUGCGUCUUCAGAACCUGCCACAAACUCAGCAAAUGUCUUAAUGAAUUAAUGAUUAACAAUCAUGCCGACAUCCUUCACCAUCCCAGGAAUGGACCUGACUAGGGCUUUGAGGGAAAGAAGAAAAGACAGAGAUUCUCAGAAAACCUGGAUCAGGUGGGCUGGGCUCUCUGAGGGAGAAACUGCAGCACCUUUGUGUGGAUAAUGUUGAACACUGUGUAAAGAUUAUCCUUGUAUCAUUCAAAUGUUGGUUUCUGUGCCCCCGUAUCUGGAGAAUCUCCUGUCUUAAUGUUGUGUAAACAUUGCUCCCCAAUUACUCCAUGAUUGAUCAAUAAAGACGCUGAUUAGCCAAUGAUUGAGCAGGGCAGAGGAUAGAGCCAGACUUCCUCUCAGCCAAGGGAGGCCAAGGAGAGAGCAAAAGUGGGGAUUCAUGAUGGGGAGAGUCCAGGAGACACCAUGAGAAAAUACUGGAACCCAGAAAGCCAGAUCAAUACUAAAAUUGCCCUCGGAAGUCAGAAGAAGACGUCAGAACCCGUGGAACUGGAGUUACAGAUUGCAGUGAGCCGCUGUGUGGGACCUGGGAACCAGACCCGAGGCCUCUACAAGAGCAGCAGGUGCUCUUAACCAGUGAGCCAUUGUGCCAGCCCUCACCUGUGAUUUUAAAGGAAAAUACAAUGUUCCAACAUUAGGCACGACUUAUUUACUUGUGAAAAAUAAUAACAUUAAAAUUAUUACAUAAAAGGAAAUUCCUGUAUAUUACUUAUUUGUUUAUGCUACAUUUAUCCACUAUUUUAUUUGUAUUUACUAAGUUCCAGUGGUGACUUUAAGCCUCUUACUGUGCUGGGCCACGUGCCUAGAACCACACUUUUAGGCUGCCCUUUUUGCUAAGUAAAUCUUGUCACUUUACUAUUUUUUCAUGCAUUUGACAUGCUAAUAUUUUGAAUAUUCGCAGUAACUCUUUUAUGUUGUUUCCAUGACUGUCUUACUAGAAUCUUAUUAAGUAAAUGUCGUAUGAUAAACUGCACAUACUUACUUGUACUUUGCUAGCCCUCAACGCUACGUGUCUAUCAUCUCUCAGAUUUUCUUACCUGCCUUUAUGUUCUGUCCUUAUUUUUCUAGACAGUCUCACUAUGAAGUUCAGGCUGGCCUCAAACUCAUAGCAAGCCUCCUGCCUAGGCUACCCAGGUUCUAGGAUUACAGACAUAAGCCUCAGCACUUAGCUAAUUCUUUAGGACAGAGGAGUCAAGUAAUCACACCAAAAUGUGUAAUACCAACCUGAGGUAAAUGUUUUACCAGAAACAAGUAGGAUUUGGAGAAGAAACUGAUCCUUCCUUGUGGAGGUAACCCUCCGUCUCCUGUGUAAACAGAUCACCAGGAGAGCAAGGAGGUCGACCAUGAGGUCACUACAGCAGAUGACCAGUGGGUUUCGAAUGGAUUUUGGUUUCCGUACAAUUUUUGACAAAUUUUAUUGUUGUUUGUUCUCCAUUGAUGGGGAUUGAAUCCAGAGCCUUGGACUUAAUAAACAAGUGCUGUGUCACCAAGCUGUACUCCCAGGCCUUAGCACAUUUUAAUUGUAUACAUGACUGUUUAAGACAGAAAUGCGGUUUCCCAAUCUCUUUAGUAAUUGGGUGAGACCAUAUGACAAAAUUUCCACAAGCAGAUAAAAGUGCUGUGGGCAUCUCCCUG